rnacentral:rRNA from 1 species
UACGUAGGGGGCAAGCGUUGUCCGGAUUUAUUGGGCGUAAAGAGCGUGUAGGCGGCCUGACAGGUCUGCUGUGAAAACUCGAGGCUCAACCUCGAGAUGUCGGCGGAAACCGUCUGGCUAGAGUCCGGAAGAGGAGAGUGGAAUUCCUGGUGUAGCGGUGAAAUGCGCAGAUAUCUGGAGGAACACCGGUGGCGAAGGCGGCAUCCUGGACCAAUAUUGACGCUGAGGAGCGAAAGCCAGGGGAGCAAACGGG